UACGGAGGGGGCUAGCGUUGUUCGGAAUUACUGGGCGUAAAGCGCGCGUAGGCGGACCUGCAAGUCGGGGGUGAAAGCCCGAGGCUCAACCUCGGAACUGCCUUCGAUACUGCGGGUCUCGAGUCCGGGAGAGGUGAGUGGAAUUCCUAGUGUAGAGGUGAAAUGCGUAGAUAUCAGGAGGAACACCUGAGGCGAAAGCGGCUCUCUGGACCACAACUGACGCUGAGGCGCGAAAGCUAGGGGAGCAAACAGG
rnacentral:rRNA from 1 species